AUAGACACAGGGGCAAUAUUCUCAACUGACACUAAAAGGCCAUUAAAAAGGAUUUGGACGAAGGUUUUUGUGUAGUCGUUGAACAAUUAAACCAUAUCGGACUAUAUAUGUGAAGGAAAACAAACACAUGGGGACUCCGCGGAUGUAGAGACAGAAGAUGACAGCGAAUGGGACAUGUCUCACACAAAACUUGGCUGAUAAAACGUUGAAGUUAAUUGCGAGGCUAACGUUUAUAUCCGUUGGAAUGCGGCGGUGUGUUACGUUGUGUCAAUUUUGUAAUCCAGACCAACAAACUAGUGCCAAACCGUUGUGUGAUCGGGCAAUUGGCUGGUUAACAGCGGCAGCUCUGGCGGGCCAAUCAGAGCGCAGCAGCAGAGGAGCUGUCUGCUAUUAGAGGCACGGCUCAGGAGUCCUUCAACAGAGAGCAGAGAGAGGGGGCCGAGCGCUAUCGGCAGCCAUUUUCCUAAAACAGGACUCAAUGGCCUAUAUGGGUUUCCUUUGUUCCAAAAGGGAUCUUACACUUGAUUUCCUCAUCUCUCACGGACUAUGAUAAAACUAUGAUACCUCCUUUUAAAGGAUUGAGAAGAAGGAAGAUUAUGUACUGGAUGUAAUACCCUGUGACAUCUUGAGCCUUUUUUCCUCUGCCUGGAAUCCAUCUUUGUCUUAACUAGGUCAUGGCACACCCAUAUACUAGUAUUUAUAUUUCUUAUGUGAAAAGAAACCAAAUGUUUUGAAUAAACAGCUGUAUGAUAUUUGGAGAUGUUAAGUUAAUGGGAAACACAGUUAAAGUGACCAUGUGUCUGGCAAUGCACUUAUGGCCUUGUGAUAUGCUUAGCAAUAAGUAAGUUCAACUUUUUUUAUCAAAAUUUAAAAGAAGGCUAAUGUAAAAUGUGAGGCAUGCAUUUUCUGUUAUCAAAAGUGUUUCUGUCAAUGUAUUGAUUGAGCUAUCAAUUUACUCACAGAAAUGUUGGCAUUUGUAUUCUACAACUUUAUUUAAUAUGUUCACUGGCAUGCUGACAUAUAGAUAAUACAGUUUAUAUACUGCUCGUCCUCAGAUGACAGAGAGCAGGCCACGGAUAACUAAUGGCCUGUUGCUUAACAGUUUAUUGUGCUGCCUUCAAAUUUGAAUUUUACGUUAUUUUGUUUGAGUAAUGACUUUAAACACUUUCCUCUCACAACAGCAACGGUUAAAAACCCUGGUGUGUUGCACCCUUCCUUCAGCUGUGGAGACAACUUCAAGCUCGAUUAGGUUUGUGCUGUCCAAUUGCCAUUUAAGAAGCAAAUGCGUCCAAAGUGUAAUCGUCGGCUUGACCUUGCAUCAAGGGUGCAUUUAAAAUGUCUUAACAAGCCCAGUAAGGUAGCGUCUUUUUUUUUACUUAAAAAAACGCUUUUUAAAAAAAAAACUUAAGAGGAAACAGAUGGAGUGAAAACUCUUAUGGUGAAAAUAUUUACCUCAGCACUUUGGUGAAAUGCAGUUAACAGGCCUAAACGCAGGGAUAGGAGGAACGUUUUCAGCUCCAUCUUCGGAUCCUCUAAUAAUGGCAUUAAUAAGGGGUGGGAUAGCGUCUCCUGAAAAGGAAGGAAUCCAUUAGCAACGAAAGAUAGAGGAGAGCUCUUUUGAAAACUUUUUGAUCAGUGCUAGGCAUUGCCUCUCGGCCAGCGAAAAUGCAUCUUCAAGCAUCAUCUGUGUGGGCAAUAUGCAAACCAUCUCCUCUAUCUCUCUCUCUCUCCUUGAAGACAGGAUUGCAGUCAAGUAUAACCUCUUCUAUUUCGACAUUUCUUACAGAGCUACAUCAUGUUUAACCACAAGGAAAUGUUGUUUUUGAAAGGUAAUGGAUUUUGAGCUAUUUCUCUUAAUAUGACAGUUUGUAACAUGUCUAACUAAAUGUAGCCUGUCAUUAUAUAGGAAAGACAACCUGCACAAUAGAUAGCCUAACUGUGGUUACAACGUUUCCAGCAAAAAUAUAUUUUAUAUACUUUUGUAAAAAAAAAAGAACUGUAACCCAUAUGUGUUUGAUUAAUUGUAAACUCACAGUUAGAACUCAAAACAUGUAAUCCAAGGCUUAAACGAGCAAAGGAAUGUUAUGGGAGCGAAAUCUGCUAAAUAUAACUGCUUGCCUUUGUCCAAAAACACCUUUUUUGGUGGUAGCCUAUGCAGGCUACACUUGUUCAAUGGUUUCUCUGCUGUUCUCUUGUCUCAAAAUGGCUUCUUUACAGACAAAGGAGAGCGCUGUGCUGUUAAAUGUUGCUGCGCCAUAACUGGGAGAGGCUCGGAGGCUGUACUCAGAGAGGGAGCUUAGGUUUUUUUUCUCGGUGAUGCAACAGGAAGUCUCACAAAAUUGUACAAAGGAGUGUUGUUUUUUUACGGGUGUACUGUAUGUAUAAGAAGAAGUAAAAUAGACUUAAUGGAAGGAAACGUAAUACAAGUGGCGUGAUCAGGCUGAGUGGUUGCCGGGCUGCCUCGCCCUGCCAGCGGCAUGUAAUCCGAGAGCUCUGGACGGUUGCCAUGGGAGCUCGAGCGAGUUGCUGCUCCCCCACACUGCCAUAUAAGGUCAUCAGGAAUCCACUGCAGCAGUGGAAUAACACGGGGGAGGAGGCUUCUGUACGUGCACUAUGGCUUCAGACAAAGACCGGAGGAUAACGGGCGUUUCAGUGCUUCAGAGCAGGACAAACUAACAAACAAAAAAAGCGAUUUUUAUCGUUUAAUCGGCAGAGGAGUUCAAUUUUAGAAUCGAUGUAUUUAGCUGCGUCACUAAUGUGCCCUUUACGCACUCCAUUCUGGUGCGUGAGCGUCUUUUACGCCCUCCCCUUUGGUGUGUCUAUUUGCUUAUGAGAACACACAAUAAUGUAGUACUAGUCGGUGUGUCGGAGGCCUGUUUUUCUUGUUCACUCCUAGCUCGGGGCUGCCAAGUGCGCGCAUUUGCAGGUCACGAGGCUGCAGACAGCAUUCCUCUCUGUCCAACCCUGCUUUAUUUCUACACCCCACCCCCCAGUGCAAAUGGAGACAGAAUAGUGAAGAAGGUUUUAUGUUUGUGUGUAACAAAGGUGAACAUUUUGCGUUGAAAACAGCCAAUGAGGUUAUUUAUAGGCCUUUUGUUUAAAAAAAAAAAAA